GCGGGCGUCGUGCACGGUGCACAGCUGCGAAGUGUUGCUCGUUUUUCUGUAGAGAUUGCGCAGUCAUACCGGGUUCGACUCCCGGCGCCCGCA